rnacentral:lncRNA from 1 species
ACAAGCUGAAUUUGAUUAAGUAUUCUUCAGGUGGCUCUAUCAAAUACUCUUGUAUAAUAUCAGUAUGAAAAGUAGCCCAGGAAGACAGUAGAGCAUAAUUUAAUAUGAAAAGGAGGUAGAGUCGGAGGUCUACAUCUGUUUCUACCUUAUGGAGAAUCAACAGCAAAUACUUGGUUCCUGGAAUACAGGGAGAAAAUCCAACAGGAGUAUGAUGGAAAAACAAAUGAGCCAGGAAUCCAAAUUCUGCAUGAUAUUUAGUCCGUUUGGUGUUUUGCUUGUGUAUACAAAUGUGUUUUUCAAGUU